rnacentral:rRNA from 1 species
UACGAAGGGGGCUAGCGUUGCUCGGAAUCACUGGGCGUAAAGGGCGCGUAGGCGGCGUUUUAAGUCGGGGGUGAAAAGCCUGUGGCUCAACCACAGAAUGGCCCUUCGAUACUGGGACGCUUGAGUAUGGUAGAGGUUGGUGGAACUGCGAGUGUAGAGGUGAAAUUCGUAGAUAUUCGCAAGAACACCGGUGGCGAAGGCGGCCAACUGGACCAUUACUGACGCUGAGGCGCGAAAGCG